GCAAUAGCUCAAAUUUGAAAUCUGGCUCUUUCAGAGUCCGAGUUGUAAUUUGCAGAGGGCGCUUUGGUGUUGGCAGCGGUCCAAGUUCCUUGGAACAGGACGUCACAGAGGGUGAGAAUCUCGUACGUGGUCGCUAGCCUUCGCCGUGUAAAGCCCCUUCGACGAGUCGAGUUGUUUGGGAAUGCAGCUCUAAAUGGGAGGUAAAUUUCUUCUAAAGCUAAAUACUGGCCAGAGACCGAUAGCGCACAAGUAGAGUGAUCGAAAGAUGAAAAGCACUUUGGAAAGAGAGUCAAAUAGCACGUGAAAUUGUUGAAAGGGAAGCGCUUGCAGCCAGACUUGCCUGUAGUUGCUUAUCCGGACUUUUGUCCGGUGCACUCUUCUGCGGGCAGGCCAGCAUCAGUUUGGGCGGUUGGAUAAAGGUCUCUGUCAUGUACCUCUCUUCGGGGAGAACUUAUAGGGGAGACGACAUGCAACCAGCCUGGACUGAGGUCCGCGCAUCUGCUAGGAUGCUGGCGUAAUGGCUGUAAGCGGCCCGUCUUGAAACACGGACCAAGGAGUCUAACAUCUAUGCGAGUGUUUGGGUGUCAAGCCCAGACGCGUAAUGAAAGUGAACGGAGGUGGGAACCCUUUGGGUGCACCAUCGACCGAUCCUGAUGUCUUCGGAUGGAUUUGAGUAAGAGCAUGGCUGUUGGGACCCGAAAGAUGGUGAACUAUGCUUGAAUAGGGUGAAGCCAGAGGAAACUCUGGUGGAGGCUCGCAGCGGUUCUGACGUGCAAAUCGAUCGUCAAAUUGGGCAUAGGGGCGAAAG
rnacentral:rRNA from 1 species